rnacentral:lncRNA from 1 species
CAAAGCCAGAGUUCGCCUAAAUAAUCCGUGGGGAUAAGGAAACACCGUCCUUAAGGGGGAUCCAUGGUCCCAGUUCAUCAUCAGGGGACACCAAGGCAAGAACUCAUGGCAGGAACCUGGAGGCAGAGACUGAAGCAGAAGCCAUGGAGGAACACUGCUUACUGACUUGCUGUUCAUGGCUCAUCUAUGUUAUAUAGGCCAGGCUCACCUGCCUGGGAAUGGCACUGCUCACAGUGGGCUGGACCCUCCUAUGCUAAUUAGCAAUCAAGAAAAUCACCCCAGAUGUGCCUACAGUCCAUUCUAAGGGAACCAUUUCCUCAAAUGAAGUCCCCUCUUCCCGGGUCUGUCAAACUGAUGGCUGAAGCCAAUGACAGAAAGUUGACCACAAAUGAUUGCUGUAUUUUUUUUAUUUUACACACCUCAGCUGCAUCUAUUGAGGUAACCACAUGAUUUCCCCUGUUAUUAUGUUAUUCUGGGGACUGAUCAUUUGUUUAAAAUACCAAUGAAUGGUGGCACAUGCCUUUAAUCUCAACACUUGAGAAGCUGUAGGCAGGAAGACGGCUGAAAGUUCAAGGCCAGCCUAGGACACAUCAUAUGACCCUGUCUCAAAAUAAAACAAACAAAAAAAAGACUAUCAAACUGAGGUAACCCUUUUAGGGGAUAAAGGUCAUUCUGUCUUCCUAUACCAGUCUGGAAGUGUUUCCCCUGUUAGCAGUUCCUGGAAAAACAAAUAUUUACUGUCCUUGACUGUUAAGUGGUAUCUACCACGGGGACUGGGUGCAUCGUUUCUAGGAAGAGAUGCAAUCAUACACUGA